rnacentral:rRNA from 1 species
GUGAAAUUCAAUAUAAUUUGAAUAAAAUAUUUUAUUAUUUUUUUAUUUGUUAAAAAAUUAAAUUGUUUUAGUUUUCUAAAUAAAAAAUAUUUUUUAUAAUAAUUUAUUAGUAUAGUGAUAGAAUACUAAUUAUUUUUUAUAUGGAUAAAAGAAAAUUUAAUUAUUUGUACCUUGUGUUUCAGGGUUUAUUAAAUUUAAAUUAAAAAUUUAAUUUUCUCGAAUUUAAAAGAGUUAAAAAGUUAUAAAUUUUAUUGUUAAAUAACUAUUUAAAAUAAUUUUUUAGUAAUGAAACGUUAAUCGUUUUUAAAUAUAUCUAGUUUUUAAAGAAAUAAAUUUAAUUUAUUUAUUAAUUUAUAUUAUUUUUUAUUUGAAAUUUAAUUUAAUUUAAUAUUUAAAAUUUUAAGGGAUAAGCUUUAAAAUUUAUAUUUAUAAAUUAUUAUGUAAUUUAAAAUUAAAUAGAAUUAAAAAUUUUUAUUUUUAUUAUUAUGUUAUAAUUAAUUUUUUGUUUAUUUUUAUUUGUAUAGAGUUUUAUAUUUUUUAUUUAAAUUAAUAAUUUAAUUUUAAAAUUAUUGUAAUUAUGAUAAAAUUAGUAAAAAUUUUUUUUAUAAAUAAUUAUUGUUUAAAGAUUUUAAAAAGGAAUUCGGCAAAUAUAUUAUUCGCCUGUUUAUUAAAAACAUGUCUUUUUGAUUAUAAUUUAAAGUUUGACCUGCUCAAUGAAAAUUAAAUAGCUGCAGUAUUUUGACUGUACAAAGGUAGCAUAAUAAAUAGUUUCUUAAUUAGAAGCUGGUAUGAAUGGUUGGACGAGAUAAUUUCUGUCUCUUUAAAAUUUUUUUUUAAUUUUAUUUUUAAGUUAAAAAGCUUAAAUUUUUUUUAUAGACGAGAAGACCCUAUAGAGUUUUAUUUAAUUAAUUAUUUUAAUUUUUAGGUAAUUUUAUUAAUUUAAAUUUUUAAUUUAAUUUUAUUGGGGUGAUGUAAAAAUUUAAUAAACUUUUUAAUUAUUAUUUCAUUUGUUUAUGUUAUUUGAUCCAUAUUUUAUGAUUAUUAGAUUAAAUUACCUUAGGGAUAACAGCGUUAUUUUUUUAGAGAGUUCUUAUCGAUAAAAAAGUUUGCGACCUCGAUGUUGGAUUAAAAUUUAAAUUUGGUGUAGAAGCUAAAAUAUUUAGGUCUGUUCGACCUUUAAAAUUUUACAUGAUCUGAGUUUAAACCGGUGUGAGCCAGGUUGGUUUCUAUCUUAAAAAAUUUAUUAUAUUUUAGUACGAAAGGACCAAUUAUAAUUAAAAUUUAAUUUAUUUUGAAUAUUAUUGUUACUUUGGCAGAUUAGUGCAUUAAAUUUAGAAUUUAAUUAUGUAAAUUUUUACAAG